GACUCUCGACAACGGAUAUCUCGGCUCUCGCAUCGAUGAAGAACGUAGUGAAAUGCGAUACUUGGUGUGAAUUACAGAAUCCCGUGAACCAUCGAGUCUUUGAACGCAAGUUGCGCUCGAAGCCUUCCGGCCGAGGGCACGUCUGCCUGGGCGUC
rnacentral:rRNA from 1 species